ensembl:miRNA
AACCCGUAGAUCCGAUCUUGUGGUGAAGUGGACCGCACAAGCUCGCUUCUAUGGGUCUGU